rnacentral:rRNA from 1 species
UACGUAGGGGGGCAAGCGUUGUCCGGAUUUAUUGGGCGUAAAGAGCUCGUAGGCGGUUUGUCGCGUCUGCCGUGAAAGUCCGGGGCUCAACUCCGGAUCUGCGGUGGGUACGGGCAGACUAGAGUGAUGUAGGGGAGACUGGAAUUCCUGGUGUAGCGGUGAAAUGCGUAGAUAUCGGGAGGAACACCGGUGGCGAAGGCGGCCUCUGGACGGAUACUGACGCUGAUACGCGAAAGCGUGGGGACAA